AUUCGAAGGAAGACACUAUUCCUCUUCCCCUUCGUUCGAAUAGAGUUGCAGCGGCGGCGAACCAGCGACCGAGUUCUCUGUCACCGUUCUCUCCCGAUAUCUCUCUAUCCUUUUCCAUCUGUUUCUUCUUCUCUCUCCGUUUUUUCUCUGUCACUGCCACUGCAACUCUUGGCAGCAGCGGUUCGGCCCCUCUCUUUCUCUUUCUCUUUCUCUUUCUCUCAUUUCGCCCUCUCUCUAUCACUGUUUUCUCCAACCCCACCGCAUUCCCCUCUCUUUUUCUCUCCAUCGAACUGAAACUUGAAAAAUCACUCAGAGUAUACUGUUCACAUUCUCCUUCAUUCGCACCGAAUAGGGGCGACGGUGGCAGAGACAAACCACCCACGCCCGACUUCCUUCUCCACUUCUCUUUUUCUUCUUCCUCUAAUCCACCAAACCCCUUCUUUACACUAAACCUACCCUCCAUCAAAUCACCUCCUCCCUAUUCUCCAGAUUGCUUCCCUCACGAACACUUCAGCAGGGCUGCCUUGUUUUGAUGUCUUCGUCUAUAGUUUCCCAAAGUAGUUCAGCAACGAUGCCUCCCAUUCUUCACCGUCGCCGGCAAGAUCACCGUCUUCAACACAUUAGUCGGACAUCAGUCAGCAUUGCUUUGGCUUCCCUUGAACAGAAGUUGUUCCCUAGUUGCAGCCAUCUACUUCAAACCAUAAUCUAGCCGAAGCUCCCCUAUUCUCUUGAUCGAAUUAGGCCGAAACAUCUCAGGGACUCAGGAAAGGGGGAGAAGGUCGACAGAACUAGAGAAAUCAGUUCCUGAAAUAUUCGGCACCUUCUCCAACCUUUUUUUUAUUUACUUUUUUUUUCUCUUUCCUAUUUCAGACUGGGGAUUGAAAUAAUUUGAUUGGUGUGUUCCCUAUCAUUUACUC